CACGGAGCUUCUUUCAGUGAUUCGUUUCUUCAUAGAUUUGAUUUCUUCUACAAACACCGAUCGAAAGACAGACGAUCCUUUAAGAUGGCGACCGUAGACGAGAGUUCAUCAGCUAAGAGAUGGCUUCCACUCGAAGCUAACCCCGAUGUUAUGAAUCAGUUUCUGUGGGGGCUUGGUCUUGCCCCAGAUGAAGUGGAGUGUAAUGAUGUGUUUGGUCUAGAUGACGAACUGCUUGAGAUGGUUCCAAAGCCUGUCCUUGCUGUUCUCUUCCUUUACCCGCUCACCAAAAAGAGUGAAGAAGAGAGAAUCGAGCAAGACAAGGAGAUCAAGGAGAAGGUGCACAGUGAUAAAGUUUACUUCAUGAAACAAACUGUUGGUAAUGCUUGCGGAACCAUUGGUCUUCUUCAUGCUAUUGGCAACAUUACCUCUGAAAUCAAGCUUUCUGAGGGAUCAUUCUUGGAUAAAUUCUUCAAAACCACCGCCAAGAUGAGUCCUAUGGAGCGUGGAAGGUUUCUUGAGAACGAUAGUCAAAUUGAAGAUGCUCAUUCGGCAGCUGUUACAGCUGGUGAAACACCGGCUUCAGAAGAUGUGAACACACAUUUCAUCUGUUUAGCUUGUGUAAACGGGGAGCUCUAUGAACUUGAUGGAAGAAAAGCAGGACCAGUUUCACAUGGUGCUUCCUCUCCAGCUACCCUGUUGAAGCCGCAGGUACCUGCGUCUGCGGCUGCGGCAAUCUUUUUCAAAAAAUGUUGUUCGUUUGAUUGACGCAAGUGCCUGCGUCUAAACGCCGCGUCUGACGCCGUGUCCCGCGUCUGACGCCAUAAAAUUCAGCGGUCGCGACAUAAACUCUGCGUCUAUUUAACCUAAUUACAAUUUUACCUUUAUAAUAAUUCAGUAUUUACAAGAAAUGCCAAACCUAAUAGCCGCAGACGCAGGUUUCCAUUUUGACGCUGACGCAGCUCCUCUCCAUCUCUCUCGAUCUCAAGCUCUCUCCAUCUCUCUCGGUCUGGAUCUCUCUCGAUCUCGAUCUCUCUCUCCAUCACGAGCCCUCUAUCGAGCUCUCUCAUCUCCGGCUCGAGCUCUCUCUUCGUCGAUACAGACCAUGAGCUCUCUCAUCUCUGGCUCGAGCUCUUUAGUUUCAGACGAAAAAUACGAGCUCUCUCAUCUCCGCCGCAAACCUUGAGCUCUCUCAUCUCUGGGCUGAUAACGAGUUCUCUCUCAUCUCCUCCGAUUUGGGUUUGCAUUGUUGAGGAUUAGUUGCUGAUAAAAUAAUAGAGGAAGAGAGUUCCCUGGAAGAAGAUGAGGAGGAUAACCAAGAACCUGAAGUAGACGUGACUCAACUUACAUGGAGGAAGAACAAGUUGUUUGAGCUAAGACUUAACAUGGGAAUGUUAAGACAUGUUCCUGAUUGUUUUAUGUGAGCCGAUUGUAUUAUUUUCCAUUAUGUGGGACUGAGUGGUCUCUGUUGUUUAGGCAAUGGCUGAACAGAUUGAACAGAUGGGUGGUCAGAUAGAGAAUUAUCAAAAGAAACUUGAGGAGUUGCAAGACAAAUACACUGGUCAAGUGCGGGAGUGCUCUGAUCUGACUAGCAGGCUUGAAAGCACCGAG